rnacentral:rRNA from 1 species
CCUACGGGGGGCAGCAGUGGGGAAUAUUGGACAAUGGGGGGAACCCUGAUCCAGCCAUGCCGCGUGUGUGAAGAAGGCCCUCGGGUUGUAAAGCACUUUCAGUGAGGAAGAACGCCUGGUGGUUAAUACCCAUCAGGAAAGACAUCACUCACAGAAGAAGCACCGGCUAACUCCGUGCCAGCAGCCGCGGUAAUACGGAGGGUGCGAGCGUUAAUCGGAAUUACUGGGCGUAAAGCGCGCGUAGGUGGCUUGAUAAGCCGGUUGUGAAAGCCCCGGGCUCAACCUGGGAACGGCAUCCGGAACUAUCAAGCUAGAGUGCAGGAGAGGAAGGUAGAAUUCCCGGUGUAGCGGUGAAAUGCGUAGAGAUCGGGAGGAAUACCAGUGGCGAAGGCGGUCUUCUGGACUGACACUGACACUGAGGUGCGAAAGCGUGGGUAGCAAACAGGAUUAGAUACCCUGGUAGUC